ensembl:lncRNA
CGUGGCCAUUCCCCUGGCAGGAACUCCUUCCCAGAGGCCAGGGGAUGACCUCUGCCCUCCUCCGCGCAGCCUCCCUGCCCCGUGAUUUGAUAGCACGUGGCAGACCUGCAGUGUAGCUUGAUUUGAGCUUUUCUUUCCAGCCCGGGGUUGCGCCAGGCUGGUGGUCAUGGACCCUUCCCUCCCCGCGGCCUGAUUCCUUUCAGAGCGUAUCUAACGCCCUGAGCGAAUCUGUUAACUGAGUUAGACGCCGCCGGAGCAUCAGAGGACCUCCCUGGGCUGUCUUGAGUCCAGCGCUGAAAGGCGGGCUGCAGGGAGGCUGCGCUGGUCGGGAGCAGUGAGAGCAGGAGCUCCAUACGCAUGAGGAGGAGGCGCAAUCAUCAAAGGCAACGCUCAAUAUAUUGAAAUGUCCUCUACAAAAUGCCAGAUUAUUGCAGGAAAGGGCUAAACGGUGACUGC